UACGUAGGGUGCGAGCGUUGUCCGGAAUUAUUGGGCGUAAAGAGCUUGUAGGCGGUCUGUCGCGUCUGCUGUGAAAAUCCGGGGCUCAACCCCGGACUUGCAGUGGGUACGGGCAGACUAGAGUGUGGUAGGGGAGACUGGAAUUCCUGGUGUAGCGGUGAAAUGCGCAGAUAUCAGGAAGAACACCCGUGGCUAAGGCGGCUCCUCUAGUACGGUACUGACGCUGAGACGCGAAAGCGUGGGGAGCGAACAGG
rnacentral:rRNA from 1 species